rnacentral:rRNA from 1 species
CCUACGGGCGGCAGCAGUGAGGAAUAUUGCGCAAUGCUCGUAAGAGUGACGCAGCGACGCCGCGUGAAUGACGAAGGCCUUCGGGUCGUAAAGUUCUUUCGACAGGGAAGAAAAUGCCUAUAAGUAACUGUGUAUGUGUUGACGGUACCUGUAUAAGCAGCGCCGGCUAACUCCGUGCCAGCAGCCGCGGUAAUACGGAGGGGGCGAGCGUUGUUCGGAGUGACUGGGCGUAAAGAGCACGUAGGCGGUGUUGUAAGUCAUUAGUCAAAGACUAGAGCUCAACUUUAGUAAGGCUAGUGAUACUAUAAUACUGGAGUAUCAGAGAGGAUUGCAGAAUUCCUGGUGUAGCGGUGAAAUGCGUAGAUAUCAGGAGGAAUACCGUUAGCGAAGGCGGCAAUCUGGCUGGAAACUGACGCUGAGGUGCGAAAGCGUGGGUAGCAAACAGGAUUAGAUACCCGGGUAGUC